CGCGCCUCCGGGUGUUGGGGAGUCCGGGAUGAUGGGGAAUCCGGGGCUCGCCCUAGUCGCGGGGACACCGCCUUCCAGGAGCUGUCCCCAGGCAAACUCACAGACAUCUUCAAAGAGCCUUCUUGGACAUUCUGCUUUUUGCUCCUCAUAACAGGCUUCGAUGGAGUUUCUCUCUUAUUUUCCAGGCUGCAGUACAGUGGCGUGAUCUCGGCUCACUGCAACCUCCACCUCCCAGGUUCAAGCGAUUCUCCUGUCUUAGCCUCACGAGUAGCCGGGAUUACAGGCACAUGCCCCCAUUCCCAGCUAAUUUUUGUAUUUUUAGUAGUGACGGGGUUUCAUCAUAUUGGUCAGGCUGGUCUCAAACUCCUGACCUCAGGUGAUCCGCCUCGGCCUCCCAAAGUGUUGGGAUUACAGGCGUGAGCCACCCACUGUAUCUCUUGUUCGGAGGAAUAUCUAAUCAAGAAAAUCAUUUUUACUGUUUUUAUUUUUUGGUUUGUUCGUUUUUUUCCUGUGAGAUGGAGUUUCACUCUUGUUGCCCAUCCUGGUGUACAAUGGCGCGAUCUCGGCUCACUUCAACCUCCGCCUCCCAGUGCGUCCGGAAUUGGUGGGUUCUUGGUCUCACUGACUUCAAGAAUGAAGCUGCGCAC
rnacentral:lncRNA from 1 species